rnacentral:rRNA from 1 species
UACAGAGGAUGCAAGCGUUAUCCGGAAUGAUUGGGCGUAAAGCGUCUGUAGGUGGCUUUUUAAGUCCGCCGUCAAAUCCCAGGGCUCAACUCUGGACAGGCGGUGGAAACUACCAAGCUGGAGUACGGUAGGGGCAGAGGGAAUUUCCGGUGGAGCGGUGAAAUGCGCAGAUAUCAGGAGGAACACCGGUGACGAAGGCGGUUCUCUGGGCAUUACCUGACGCUGAGGAGCGAAAGUGUGGGGAGCGAACAGG